AUGUGGGUCUCUUUGCGUUUUUUGUUUUCAUUAGUUUGUAAUCUCUUUCUCCCCCUGGUGUCUGUCUUUAGUACUGCAGGUUCUCUGGAGCUGCAAGAAGCCAAGGAGCUCUCUUUCUUUCUCCACUGUCCCAAGACAGCCAAAGAAUUUUCUGAUUACCAAGAUAAUACAUAUGUACCGGGGAAAACUGGCAAGAUGUGGAAAACUGCAGAAAAGAGAUUUUAAAAAUACUCUUAAUUCUCUAACAUAUACAUUUUUAUCUAAGCAGGUAAGUGCAUUUGGGUGGGCUGUGGACUGAGAAUCAGUCAUAGUAAUGAGGAAAAAUAUUUUCAGAGUAUGUGAGGCAUGAACUGGAGGGUGAGGUUGGAGAUGCCAGAUCUCAGUUGAAUGCUGUGAAAUUUCCUUUUCUCAUAUCUAUAAGCCAGGAGAAUUGCCAUAAUUUUAUGCAUCUAAGGCUACUUUUUGAUAGUGACCCAAUAAUAUUCCUUUACACUGUACAGCUAAUUUAAAAUUUAAGCUGAUUAUUAAGGCAGCCAGAAAAGGGGUUUCUUCCCCUCCUUUAACUCCAGAGUAUUUUGAGGACAAUUCUGAAGGAUUCCUCUGAUAUUUGCUAACUUGGUCAUCUCACCCCAUGUGUAUAUUCAAGCUGAACCUGGAAAUUAAUUUACUUAUCAUUUAAAAAGUGAAGUCUGAGGGCCAGCCUGGUAGCGUAGUGGUUAAGUUGUUGUGCUCUGCUUGGGUGGCCCAGGAUUCAUGGGUUUGGAUCCCAGGCACAGACCCACACACUUCUCAUUAAGCCAUGCUGGGGCAGAGUCCUACAUACAAAAUAGAGAAAGAUUGGCACAGAUGUUUGCUCAGGGCCAAACUUCCUCACCAAAAAAAAAGCGAAGCCUGUUAAAUUAUUGAGCAUUCAUCUCAAAAGGCUUGCCUGUUACCCUUUUAACAAGCUCAUGUGUGUUUUGCAGGCCAGCGUUUUAUAUGAGGAAACAACUGCUUUUACUUGUUAUCAUGUAUCAUCAAAUCUAAGACAACAUCAGUUGUAAGACUCACCACUACUCUGUAGGCCAUUAAGAAAAUGCUGCCAAAUAAUUUUAAGAGACUGUUAAUUUUAAGGUGCAUCCCAAUUUCAGAGAUGUUAAAAUAUGAAAAAUGAGCAUCUUAGAACUAUUAAAUAUGUAAUGUCUUUUAUUCCGUGUGAAGAAAUUCUUUGGGGAUAACAUUUGAUCAUUUGAUGCUUGUGUCGAUCUUUCCUCAGCUUCACACUACAGAGAGCCUUCAGUUAUGAAUUGUCUCGAAUGAACGCUUGAAUAUGAGGACCCAUAAGAAACCUUUAUCACUAUCUAAUUCACAAGUUAGAGUUACCGGGAAUGAUCUCCUGGCAAAAAAGCUAAACAUGCCCAGUGACUGAAAAUAGAAUUAUGUUCUUCACUCCCUUUCGGAUUCUCAAUCAACAGAUGUCACAUGGAGAUAAACAAGAUGCAUGACACACACACACCCCCACACACACAUAAAAUGAACAGAAAAUAAGCAUUGUUGAGUAAAUCUAGAGGGAUAAUCUACUGAGAGUAAUUUCUGUCUUCUCCGUGCUGCUAGAGGAAAGAGGAAAUGAACUUAACUCCCCCUUCCUACUCUGCAGUGAUGGUUAAUUUUAUGUGUCAACUUGACUGGGCUAAGUGAUGCUCAGAUAGCUGGUAAACAUUAUUUCUGAGUUCGUCUGUGAGGCUGUUUCUGGAAAAGCCAAUCCCUUAUAAUAAAUCUCUUUCUAUUUAUCUCUAUAUCGCCUAU
rnacentral:lncRNA from 1 species